GUGUUUUGAUAGAAAAGGGGUGGGAUGGAAGAUCAGCCCCUAGCUCAGCCUCACUGAAACCAUACAGGAGAGGGGUUGUGUUGGUAUUUGGCUGUAAUAGGCUUUAUCUCCAGAGUCAUCAGUUAAAUAUGCCAGAUGAACAGUCUGUGAUGGAGAACACUUGCUGGAUCAAAACCAAGAAUGAAAGGUGCCAAAAAUAAUUGCUGAUUGUGCCAAGUUGUGUCUUUAUCACCUGUUAAAGAUCUCGGUGCACUGUCACAUGGCAUCUAAG